CUUGAACGCUGGCGGCAGGCCUAACACAUGCAAGUCGAGCGAGCGGCGGACGGCUGAGUAAUGUGUGGGAAACUGCCUGAUGGAGGGGGAUAACUACUGGAAACGGUAGCUAAUACCGCAUACCAUCAGAUGUGCCCAGAUGGGGUUAGCUAGUAGGUUGGGUAACGGCUCACUUAGGCGACGAUCCCCAGCUGGUCUGAGAGGAUGACCAGCCACACUGGAACUGUGACACGGGCCGGACUCCUACGGGAGGCAGCAGGGGGGAAUAGUGCACAAGUGGCGCAAGCCUGAUGCAGCCAUGCCGCGUGUGUGAAGAAGGCCUUCGGGUUGUAAAGCACUUUCAGCGGGGAGGCGGUACCCGCAGAAUAAGCACCGGCUAACUCCGUGCCAGCAGCCGCGGUAAUAC
rnacentral:rRNA from 1 species